rnacentral:rRNA from 1 species
UACGUAGGCAGCGAGCGUUGUUCGGAGUUACUGGGCGUAAAGCGUGCGUAGGCGGUGUCCUAAGUCUGUUGUGAAAUCUCCCGGCUUAACCGGGAGGGUGCGGCGGAAACUGGGAUGCUGGAGUGCGGGAGAGGUAAGCGGAAUUCCCGGUGUAGCGGUGAAAUGCGCAGAUAUCAGGAGGAACACCUAUUGCGAAGGCAGCUCGCUGGGACGUAACUGACGCUGAGACGCGAAAGCGUGGGGAGCAAACAGG